CAGGUAGGCAGGCAGGCAGGAGCAUGAGGCUGUUCGGGAAGCACGUGUUCCCGAGGCAGAUCGCCCUGUUCGCCACCGGGUAGGCUGCUGUUCUUCGGGGCGACGACGUACGACGUGCACCGGUCCAUCAAGAGCAACGAGCAGCCGCCGACCAGGGAGCAGAUGGAGGCGUUGCAGGACUACAUCAACUCCAGGAAGCAGUAGGCCUCCGAGUUGCGCCUCCUAGGUGUGUAAUCGUCUGCAAAUAAGGUUGGAGCACAAGGGGAUUCUCGUGGAGGACGGAGGUCGAGUGGGCGGGGGGUGCGUGCUACGUGUUCGACGUUAUCUCCGUGAGGACUUCGACGUGUGUAAAUCAAUAGGAGUAUAUAUGGCUGUGUAAUUGUAAAGCUGCUUCGAUUUUUAGAGACGUUUCUUUCUUGCA